CGACGGACCCACCAGCACCAGGCCACCACGGUUCCUCCGCCUCACUGCUCCUCCCUCUCCCUCCCUCCGUCCUGCAGCCCCGGCGCGUACCGACGCCUCCCCACAGCUGGAGCCGUACUUUACUGGCAGUAAUCUUCGUCCUCUUCCCACCCGCCUCCCUCGGCGCCUCCUCCCUACCUCGCCCGCUCUCGCUUCGCUGUUCUCCCUUCUGUCACCUCCUCUCCCGGCGAAGCGUGGCUCCUGCGACCGGCCUCCCACCCGCUCCUCCGCGCGCCGAGCGCCACGCCACGCGGCGCGGCCGAGCGCGGCCGCCGCCGGAUCCUCCGCCCGCCGCGGAGCCGCUCCACUCUCGUCUACCGCCGGCGGAGCGGAGAUCCGUCCGGACUUGAACUGGGGUCUCUGCUCUCUGUUGAUAUGAACUAAAGUGGUCGGCGGUCAUAUUGAAUACAGAGCUAUUAUUGUACGCCAUAUUCUGUCAGCAUGCUAAAUACGGUGCCCAUAGGUUCGGUUUGAGGAGCUUCACUGUCUGAGAAAUGGACGAAACACCAACUAGUUCUGGGCAGUCUGAAGCUAGUUCAAGUGAACCUAGCUGGUGGCCACCAGACUUUUUGGAGAAGAUAGAGUCUGCUUCCAUAUCAAGGAAACAGGAUGUUUUGGGUAAUCUAAGGUCCUCAUCCUGGAAGGCUUCUCAAUUACUGUGGUCUCAAGGAGCUUACUCAGGGUUAAUCCCUAAUGGUUUCUAUUCAAUCAUCCCGGAUAAAAAGCUGAAGGAGUCUUUCCCAACGAUUCCGUCAUUAGAUGACCUGCAAGCUCUUGAAUCAGAUGGGCUUAAGGCUGACAUAAUUAUUGUAGACACGGAGAGGGAUAAGAAGGUUUUCAUGUUGAAGCAGCUUAGUGCUGCACUUGUGAAAGGGUUAAAUUCUAGCCCAGCAUUGGUGAUAAAGAAAAUAGCAGGUUUGGUUUUUGACUGCUUCAAGCGACAAAAUCCUGAUUCAAGUCCAGCAAGAGGUUCGACUGAAGAUACCCAUUUCUUUGGAAAUAAAGGACCACAACUUCUAGGACAGAUAAGACAUGGGUCAUGCCGACCCCGAGCUAUUCUCUUUAAAGUUCUUGCAGAUGCUGUUGGCCUUGAGAGUAAACUUGUAGUGGUAGGUCUACAGGGUCUACCUGAUGACGGUGCUGUUGGAUUUGUGGACUCUUACAAACAUAUGUCUGUGGUAGUUUCACUGAACUCUAUGGAGCUGCUAGUUGAUCUUAUGCGAUUCCCAGGCCAGUUGAUUCCUUUUUCAGCUAAAGCUAUCUUUAUAUCUCAUAUAUCUGCUGCGGGUGAAAGCGACUCAGCUGAAAAUGAUUCGUGUGAUUCUCCCCUUGAGCCUAACAGCCCUCUUUAUGGAUUGUCUGAUAAAGUUGAAACUGAAGGAAUUGAAUCUUCAUCAAAUCUAUCUGGACGAUCAUUACGUAAUAUGAUGUUGAGAUCAAGAACAUUUUCAGAGGGGAAAUUAAGCACGUCAUGCAGUGAACCAAAUAUAGCAAAUGCCUUUUGGAGGCAUAGCCAAAGGAGAGGAGUUGCUGAGGAACCCCGUGGUGCUAGUUCAAGUCCUGAGCAUUCAUUAAUGAGAGCAAGGGGAAGAUCUAUACUUGGUGGUGAGAAGCAAUCAUUUCAAGAAUACACAGAAAGUGGUGCUGCAUCAAGAUCAGAUGGUCUUGAUGGCACUUCAACAUCUAAUGCUCGGAGAAUAAGACGAAGAAGCAUUAGCAUCACGCCUGAGAUUGGAGAUGACAUUGUGAGGGCAGUUCGGGCUAUGAAUGAAACACUAAAGCAAAAUCGCCUCCAAAGGGGUCAUGUUGAAGGUUCAUGCUCAUAUGUUACAGAGGACGAAAGCAAUGCAAAUGACUGCCCAAAUGAGGAUGAUGCAUCUCGAAGAGCUGGUGCUACUGACAAUGGCUCAAGAAACCUAACUGGUUCUACUCAGAAGGCCAUGUCAUUACCUUCUUCACCACAUGAAUAUAGGGGUCAAGUUACUGAAAAAAGUGAUGAUUUUAUGAGUAAAGAGAAGAUGGCAUUGGCAUGGAACAAAGUAUUCCAGAGCUCCCCAUUUCUUAAUAAACCGUUAUUGCCCUUUGAGGAAUGGAACAUAGAUUUCUCCGAGAUAACUAUUGGCACACGGGUUGGAAUAGGAUUCUUUGGAGAGGUUUUCCGUGGUAUAUGGAAUGGAACUGAUGUUGCCAUCAAAUUGUUUCUAGAACAGGAUCUAACAACUGAAAAUAUGGAAGACUUUUGCAAUGAGAUAUACAUCCUGAGCCGGCUACGACACCCAAAUGUUAUAUUGUUUCUUGGUGCAUGCAUUACGCCUCCACACCUGUCAAUGGUUACUGAAUAUAUGGAAAUGGGAUCACUGUACUAUCUCAUCCACAUGAGUGGUCAGAAAAAGAAGCUCAGUUGGCGUAGGAGGUUGAAAAUUAUUCGUGAUAUAUGCAGGUAUGAUCUUUUCUAGUUACAGAGUAACCAUUACUCCAUAUAUUUCUGCUGGCUAUUUUAAAAGAGAUUUUUUCUGUAGCACUGCUGACAUGUAUGAAUUGGUAAAUGACAUCCUAUGUGAGGAUGGUAUGUGGGGCCUGGGGUAACAUGUUUAUGACACAAUGCUUGCUGACUUUUUUCAGUUUACACAAGUCUCCAGUGACCAGUGUUCCUGAGUGACCUUUAAAAAUAUUCUGAAUCUUUCAAGAGAACUGUAUUUGAUGCAAUUCUUUGUCUCUUAGACUUUAGUCUUUUCUAGUCCUUUUAUUAUGAAUUGAUUAUCUGAAAGAUCUUGUCUUGUUCGCUUGAAAGGGGUUUGAUGUGCAUACACCGCAUGAAGAUAGUUCACAGGGAUCUCAAAAGUGCAAACUGCCUGGUGAACAAGCAUUGGACUGUAAAGAUAUGUGACUUUGGUUUAUCUCGAGUGAUGAUUGAUAGUCCUAUGACUGAUAACUCCUCUGCUGGCACCCCAGAAUGGAUGGCCCCUGAGCUUAUCAGGAAUGAACCUUUCACAGAGAAAUGCGAUAUAUUUAGUCUCGGUGUUAUUAUGUGGGAGCUGUGCACAUUGAGUCGCCCAUGGGAGGGCAUCUCUCCCGUUCAAGUGGUUUACUCGGUUGCUAAUGAAGGGUCACGGCUCGAGAUUCCUGAAGGACCUCUCGGCAGGUUAAUUGCAGAUUGCUGGGCAGAGCCUGAGAAUCGGCCGAGCUGCCAGGAGAUCCUCACCCGCCUGCUGGACUGCGAAUACGCUGUCAGCUGAAGUGCUUGCUCACCCGCCACCUGAUUCCUGCAGAGGUGGGCACGUUUUCUUGUAUAAAACAUGUACAAAGUAGCCUGUCGACUCUGCCGACCGGCGAGGUUGCAUAUAUUGAAGCCCUAUAAUUCUGCUUUAUGACGGCGAUCCUUUCUCCCAAAAAAAUUGUAAAAAACUGUUUCCCCCGGUCAUAUAAGAACAUUUCUGGCCAAGAAAUGUGCCUCGCGUCACAGGGACCGAGCCUAGUUGCUGUUACGCUGUAUACCUGUUAUGGAAUCUGGAUAGUUGCACGUCCUCGGGAGCUGGGUCAACCAUAUAUAGUUGUCUGAUUGUCUCCAAGAAUAUGUCCAGUACUCCGGUGAAAAUGACAAACAAGUGGAGAGUACUUUUUUGCUA